GUGGGGAAUAUUGGUCAAUGGGCGAGAGCCUGAACCAGCCAAGUAGCGUGCAGGAUGACGGCCCUACGGGUUGUAAACUGCUUUUAUGCGGGGAUAAAGUGAGGGACUUGUCCCUUUUUGCAGGUACCGCAUGAAUAAGGACCGGCUAAUUCCGUGCCAGCAGCCGCGGUAAUACGGAAGGUCCUGGCGUUAUCCGGAUUUAUUGGGUUUAAAGGGAGCGCAGGCCGGUGUGUAAGCGUGACGUCAAAUACAGCCGCUCAACGGUUGUCCGCGUCGCGAACUGCAUGCCUUGAGUACGCUGCAAGUGGGCGGAAUUCGUGGUGUAGCGGUGAAAUGCUUAGAUAUCACGAAGAACUCCGAUUGCGAAGGCAGCCCGCUGUUGCGUCACUGACGCUGAGGCUCGAAGGUGCGGGUAUCGAACAGG
rnacentral:rRNA from 1 species